UAUGGCGAUAUCACGAUGAAACCCAGGUUCUUAUCAGAACACCAAAGUUAAGCAACGUCGAGUCUUCUCAGUACUCAAAUGGGUGACCGCUUGGGAAGACCAGGU